rnacentral:misc_RNA from 1 species
GACACUUGCCUUGCGGCUUACCACGAAGUAAAGGAAGAAUAAAAGGAAUAGAAAAGAAGAGGAGGAAAAGGCUCUUCUCUAGCGUAUCUUCACAGGGUCAACCGGUUGCCGCGUCGGUCGUUUCGUAGACAAGACCCGGCCUUUGAACGUUUAUGGUAAUCGAAGCACUUGCAUCCGCGGUCACUGGACGGGACAGGAUCUUUUGAGGAGCGUUUCGAUGGCAAUUAAGAAACGUCUGUCUCGAAGAAGUAAACUGUUAUGUUUGCGAAACGUCGGGACACAAUGCAAGAACGAAGCAUCACAAAUACGUCGAGAAAUAAUUUCAUAAAGUGAAAGACACCUUGCUAAAACCAGAGACAAGACAGCUCGAUUACUGUUGUAUUAAUGCAGAGGAUAAAGGAGCCAUCGAUAUCACCUGAGAAAGAGGAGAACGAUGGACAAAAUAAAUAACUCGG